UGCCUUUGUGUUGCCCAUUCAUUUUUGUUAUUAAUGUUUGUGGUGUCAAGAAAGGCAUAAAAAAAAAAAGUCCUUCCGCAGCAUUAUUUGAUGUUGGCAAUUAAUCUCUCCCAUGAUUCUGCUGUAUACGGGACAGUU